AUACGAAGGGUGCAAGCGUUACUCGGAAUUACUGGGCGUAAAGCGUGCGUAGGUGGUUGUUUAAGUCUGUCGUGAAAGCCCUGGGCUCAACCUGGGAAUGGCGAUGGAAACUGGGCGACUAGAGUGUGGCAGAGGGUAGUGGAAUUCCUGGUGUAGCAGUGAAAUGCGUAGAGAUCAGGAGGAACAUCCGUGGCGAAGGCGACUGCCUGGGCCAAUACUGACACUGAGGGACGAAAGCGUGGGGAGCAAACAGGAUGAGAUACCCUGGUAGUCCACGCCCUAAACGAUGCGAACUGGAUGUUGGGUGCAAUUUGGCACGCAGUAUCGAAGCUAACGCGUUAAGUUCGCCGCCUGGGGAGUACGGUCGCAAGACUGAAACUCAAAUGAAUUGACGGGG
rnacentral:rRNA from 1 species